rnacentral:rRNA from 1 species
GGCAGGCUUACACAUGCAAGUCGAGCGGGGUGAUGGUGCUUGCACUAUCACUUAGCGGCGGACGGGUGAGUAAUGCUUAGGAAUCUGCCUAUUAGUGGGGGACAACAUCUCGAAAGGGAUGCUAAUACCGCAUACGUCCUACGGGAGAAAGCAGGGGAUCACUUGUGACCUUGCGCUACUAGAUGAGCCUAAGUCGGAUUAGCUAGUUGGUGGGGUAAAGGCCUACCAAGGCGACGAUCUGUAGCGGGUCUGAGAGGAUGAUCCGCCACACUGGGACUGAGACACGGCCCAGACUCCUACGGGAGGCAGCAGUGGGGAAUAUUGGACAAUGGGGGGAACCCUGAUCCAGCCAUGCCGCGUGUGUGAAGAAGGCCUUAUGGUUGUAAAGCACUUUAAGCGAGGAGGAGGCUCUUUUGGUUAAUACCCAAGAUGAGUGGACGUUACUCGCAGAAUAAGCACCGGCUAACUCUGUGCCAGCAGCCGCGGUAAUACAGAGGGUGCAAGCGUUAAUCGGAUUUACUGGGCGUAAAGCGCGCGUAGGCGGCCAAUUAAGUCAAAUGUGAAAUCCCCGAGCUUAACUUGGGAAUUGCAUUCGAUACUGGUUGGCUAGAGUGUGGGAGAGGAUGGUAGAAUUCCAGGUGUAGCGGUGAAAUGCGUAGAGAUCUGGAGGAAUACCGAUGGCGAAGGCAGCCAUCUGGCCUAACACUGACGCUGAGGUGCGAAAGCAUGGGAGCAAACAGGAUUAGAUACCCUGGUAGUCCAUGCCGUAAACGAUGUCUACUAGCCGUUGGGGCCUUUGAGGCUUUAGUGGCGCAGCUAACGCGAUAAGUAGACCGCCUGGGGAGUACGGUCGCAAGACUAAAACUCAAUGAAUUGACGGGGGCCCGCACAAGCGGUGGAGCAUGUGUUUAAUUCGAUGCAACGCGAAGAACCUUACCUGGCCUUGAC